CCUGCAGUCGACGGCAGCACGGGGGCAACCCUGGUGGCGAGUGGCGAACGGGUGAGUAAUACAUCGGAACGUGCCCAGUCGUGGGGGAUAACGUAGCGAAAGCUACGCUAAUACCGCAUACGAACUCAGGUUGAAAGCGGGGGAUCGCAAGACCUCGCGCGAUUGGAGCGGCCGAUGGCAGAUUAGGUAGUUGGUGGGGUAAAGGCUCACCAAGCCGACGAUCUGUAGCUGGUCUGAGAGGACGACCAGCCACACUGGGACUGAGACACGGCCCAGACUCCUACGGGAGGCAGCAGUGGGGAAUUUUGGACAAUGGGCGCAAGCCUGAUCCAGCCAUUCCGCGUGCAGGAUGAAGGCCCUCGGGUUGUAAACUGCUUUUGUGCGGAACGAAAAGGCUCUGGUUAAUACCCGGGGCUCAUGACGGUACCGUAAGAAUAAGCACCGGCUAACUACGUGCCAGCAGCCGCGGUAAUACGUAGGGUGCAAGCGUUAAUCGGAAUUACUGGGCGUAAAGCGUGCGCAGGCGGUGAUGUAAGACAGGUGUGAAAUCCCCGGGCUUAACCUGGGAACUGCAUUUGUGACUGCAUCGCUGGAGUGCGGCAGAGGGGGAUGGAAUUCCGCGUGUAGCAGUGAAAUGCGUAGAUAUGCGGAGGAACACCGAUGGCGAAGGCAAUCCCCUGGGCCUGCACUGACGCUCAUGCACGAAAGCGUGGGGAGCAAACAGGAUUAGAUACCCUGGUAGUCCACGCCCUAAACGAUGUCAACUGGUUGUUGGUCCUUCACUGGAUCAGUAACGAAGCUAACGCGUGAAGUUGACCGCCUGGGGAGUACGGCCGCAAGGUUGAAACUCA
rnacentral:rRNA from 1 species